rnacentral:tRNA from 1 species
GGAGCUGUGCCUGACUAAAGGGUUACUUUGAUAGAGUAAAUUAUGAAGGUUAAAGCCCUUCCACCUCCU